AGCAGACACAGGAUUCACACAACAGCCAUUCCUAAUGCAGGAAAACCUGUGUUUCCAGAACUCAGGAGACUCCUGUGGCAGCUGGAAGGCAACUAGAGGGUAACCACCCAUGUAUGCAAGCACAUCUCAUAGCAGGUGAAAGAGAAACCUGUGACUUACUGCAGUGAUGAGAAUUUGUGGGGUGCGUGGUGUGUGAUGGCCACAUCAUCCAUGGAAAAGUGAGCUGAACUGACUCAGCAAUCCAAGGGCAUUGCACAGUCAAGACAAAAUAUAUUUUACCAGUGAGAAGGAGAUGGCAGAGAGAUUAAACUUCUUAUCCAGACCCACAGAGUUUGUGAGCAUGAAAGCAAAACCACACUUUGGGCACUGUUUGAAUGCUCCAACAGUAUGAAAUACAAACACAAGAGGAAG